GCAGUGAGGAAUAUUGCACAAUGGGCGAAAGCCUGAUGCAGCAACGCCGCGUGCACGAAGAAGGUCUUCGGAUCGUAAAGUGCUUUUCUGAGAGAUGAGAAAGGACAGUAUCUCAGGAAUAAGUCUCGGCUAACUACGUGCCAGCAGCCGCGGUAAAACGUAGGAGGCAAGCGUUAUCCGGAUUCACUGGGCGUAAAGCGCGUGCAGGCGGUUCGGUAAGUUGGGCGUGAAAUCUCCCGGCUCAACUGGGAGAGGUCGUUCAAUACUACCGGACUAGAGAGCAGUAGAGGAAGAUGGAAUUCCCGGUGUAGUGGUGAAAUGCGUAGAUAUCGGGAGGAACACCAGUGGCGAAGGCGAUCUUCUGGACUGUUUCUGACGCUCAGACGCGAAAGCUAGGGUAGUAAACAGGAUUAGAUACCCUGGUAGUCCUAGCCUUAAACGAU
rnacentral:rRNA from 1 species